rnacentral:tRNA from 1 species
UGCCCGAUGGUGUAAUGGCAGCACACGGCCCUUUGGAGGCCAGAGUCUAGGUUCCGAAUCCUAGUCGGGCAACCA